rnacentral:rRNA from 1 species
ACGUAGGGUGCAAGCGUUAAUCGGAAUUACUGGGCGUAAAGCGUGCGCAGGCGGCUUUGCAAGACAGGUGUGAAAUCCCCGGGCUUAACCUGGGAACUGCAUUUGUGACUGCAAGGCUGGAGUGCGGCAGAGGGGGAUGGAAUUCCGCGUGUAGCAGUGAAAUGCGUAGAUAUGCGGAGGAACACCGAUGGCGAAGGCAAUCCCCUGGGCCUGCACUGACGCUCAUGCACGAAAGCGUGGGGAGCAAACAGGAUUAGAUACCCUGGUAGUCCACGCCCUAAACGAUGUCAACUGGUUGUUGGACGGCUUGCUGUUCAGUAACGAAGCUAACGCGUGAAGUUGACCGCCUGGGGAGUACGGCCGCAAGGUUG